GGGGAUGUGGCUCAGAUGGUAGAGCGCUCGCUUAGCAUGUGAGAGGUAAGGGGAUCGAUACCCCGCAUCUUCA
rfam:Oryza glaberrima chromosome 6 Oglab06_unplaced183_5, whole genome shotgun sequence.